rnacentral:snRNA from 1 species
AGGUCUAAAGAAGCAGGAUGUGACAUCUCACUCCGGAUCAUGGGGGUUGAUCUGGCUGAUGGCACUGGCUAGGCAGGUGUCCCUUCCUCCAUCACCUUUCUAUAAGCUCUCCCCUGAAGCCAUGUGCUCCAUCUUAAAGGACGACCUUCCCCGAUAGAGGACUAUUAUUUAGUCAAGGGUAUAUGAGUGGUUGCAUUCCCCUGCUAGACCCUCCAAGCAUACUCUUGAGGAAUAAAAAUGCAGGGCGUGUGCGUGUGU